UACGUAGGGUGCAAGCGUUGUCCGGAAUUAUUGGGCGUAAAGAGCUCGUAGGCGGUUUGUCGCGUCUGCUGUGAAAACUCGGGGCUUAACCCUGGGCCUGCAGUGGGUACGGGCAGACUAGAGUGCGGUAGGGGAGAACGGAAUUCCUGGUGUAGCGGUGAAAUGCGCAGAUAUCAGGAGGAACACCGGUGGCGAAGGCGGUUCUCUGGGAAUAUCCUGACGCUGAGGAGCGAAAGUGUGGGGAGCGAACAGG
rnacentral:rRNA from 1 species